rnacentral:rRNA from 1 species
GAUCGAGUUUGAUCCUGGCUCAGAGCGAACGCUGGCGGCAGGCCUAACACAUGCAAGUCGAACGGAUCCUUCGGGAUUAGUGGCGGACGGGUGAGUAACACGUGGGAACGUGCCCUUUGGUUCGGAACAACUCAGGGAAACUUGAGCUAAUACCGGAUGUGCCCUUCGGGGGAAAGAUUAUCGCCAUUGGAGCGGCCCGCGUCUGAUUAGCUAGUUGGUGAGGUAAAGGCUCACCAAGGCGACGAUCAGUAGCUGGUCUGAGAGGAUGAUCAG